rnacentral:rRNA from 1 species
UACGUAGGGCGCAAGCGUUGUCCGGAAUCAUUGGGCGUAAAGAGCUCGUAGGCGGUCUGUCGCGUCGGAUGUGAAAACCCAGGGCUCAACCCUGGGCCUGCAUUCGAUACGGGCAGACUAGAGUGUGGCAGGGGAGACUGGAAUUCCUGGUGUAGCGGUGAAAUGCGCAGAUAUCAGGAGGAACACCGGUGGCGAAGGCGGGUCUCUGGGCCAAUACUGACGCUGAGGAGCGAAAGCGUGGGGAGCGAACAGG